CACAAAUUUGUUUAACGGUUCGAUUUUUAGUUGGCGCCAUUUCCCCGACUGUCCUCUUCCAAGUUCCAAGUCGCUCACUCAAACCCUAACUCUCACUGAUCACCUUUUCUAAACGGGAUCGUUGAAAUUUCGUAUCUGCAAGGCAAAGCUCCACCAACCUCUAUGCUAUGGCGGAAUCCGAGCAUCGCGCUAAGCGCCUUAGAAUUACGAGGGGGGAAGAUGAUUAUAUGCCUGGAAGUAUAAUUGAGAUUGAGCUUCAUAACUUUAUGACCUUUAACCACCUGAAAUGUAAACCAGGAUCACGUCUAAACCUUGUAAUUGGGCCUAAUGGAUCUGGUAAAAGCUCUAUUGUGUGUGCUAUUGCCCUUGGCCUUGGUGGUGAGCCUCAGCUCCUUGGAAGGGCAACCAGUGUUGGAGCAUACGUGAAGCGUGGGGAGGAGUCUGGUUAUGUUAGAAUAACCUUGAGAGGGAAUACUAAAGAGGAAAAGAUUACAAUUACACGUAAAAUGGACACGCACAACAAAUCCGAGUGGCUGUUCAAUGGAAAAGUUGUGCCGAAAAAAGAUGUAGCUGGAAUUAUUCAAAGGUUUAAUAUUCAAGUUAAUAAUUUAACUCAAUUUUUACCACAGGACAGGGUUUGUGAAUUUGCCAAAUUAACUCCUGUGCAACUUUUAGAAGAGACGGAAAAGGCAGUUGGUGACCCUCAACUUCCUAUCCUACAUCGUGCACUUGUUGAUAAAAGCCAUGGCAUAAAAAGUAUUGAAAGAGCUGUUGAGAAAAAUGGUGACACCCUAGAUCAGUUGAAGGCAUUAAAUGUUGAGCAAGAGAAAGAUGUUGAGCAUGUUCGUCAAAGAGAUGAACUUUUAAAAAAGGUUGAGUCCAUGAAAAAGAAACUGCCAUGGUUAAAGUAUGACAUGAAAAAGGCCGAAUACUUGGAAGUUAAGGAAAAAGAAAAGGAGGCCAAAAAGAAGUUAGAUGAAGCUGCUAACACUUUGAAUGAUCUAAAGAAGCCAAUUGAGUUCUUUGUUUGGCAAGUCUUACAUGGCCGUCUGAACACCUUGGAUCAGCUUACAAGGAAACAAAAAUUGGAGAAGGCAAAGUUGGAUGCUAAAACUAAAAAGUAUAGCACUCGUAUUAACGAUAAUCACAAGAAAAGGGUGGAACUUCAGGAAACUGAAAAUCGUUUGGGGGUGCAAGUGCAAGGAAAAUUGAAAGAAAUGGAAGACCUGAGGAAACAAGAAGAAUCUCGUCAACAGAGAAUCGCACGAGCUAAAGAGGAACUUGAAUCUGCUGAGUUUGAACUUCAGAAUUUGCCUGCUUAUGAACAUCCCAAGGAUGAGAUUGAACGGUUGCGUGCUCAAAUUUUGGAGUUGGAAGUUUCAGCAAGUCAGAAGAGACUUAUGAAGUCAGAGAUUGAGAAAAACAUUUCCCAAAAAAGAAAUACUUUGAGGCAAUGCUCGGAUAGGUUAAAAGAUAUGGAGAAUACUAAUACAAAACUACUACAGGCAUUGAAAAAUUCUGGAACAGAGAAGAUUUUUGAAGCUUAUCACUGGCUUCAAGAACAUCGCCAUGAGUUCAAGAAGGAGGUGUAUGGUCCAGUGUUGCUAGAGGUUAAUGUGUCUAAUCGGACUCAUGCUGACUACUUAGAAGGCCAUAUUCCAUCCUAUGUCUGGAAGUCCUUCAUAACCCAAGAUUCUCAUGAUCGCGACAUUAUGGUAAAAAACUUGGGCUCUUUUGGCGUUCCUGUCUUAAACUAUGUGGGAGGUGAAAGGCGCACAAAUCAGCAUUUUGAGUUGUCUGAGGAGGUUCGUGCAUUUGGCAUAUAUUCUCGGCUAGACCAAAUUUUUGAUGCUCCUGCAGCUGUAAAGGAGGUUUUGACCAUGCAGUUUGGUUUGGAACAUUCAUAUAUUGGUUCAAAGGUAACUGAUCAAAAGGCAGACGAGGUCUCAAAAUUGGGAAUUUUAGAUUUUUGGACUCCAGAUAAUCAUUAUCGAUGGUCUCGCUCUAGAUACGGUGGUCAUAUCUCCGGAAGUGUGGAACCAGUUGAUCGCUCACGUCUUCUUUUGUGCAACUUGGAUGCGGGAGAAAUUGAUGGGCUUCGCUCUAGGAAAAGUGAGCUAGAAGAAUCUGUUUCUGCCUUAGAAGAAAAUUGUAAAUCAUGUCAGAAUGAGCUAAGAUUGAUAGAGGAUGAAGAAGCUAAACUUCGCAAACAUCGAGAAGACAUUUUAAAUACUGUGCAACAUGAGAAGAGAAAACGACGUGAAAUGGAAAAUCGCAUUGAUCAAAGGAAAAAGAAAUUAGAAUCUAUGGAGCGGGAAGAUGACUUGGAUACUGUUGUGGCCAAGCUUGUCGACCAAGCUGCAAAUUUUAACAUUCAGAGGUUUCAUUGUGCAAUUGAAAUUAAGAAUUUGCUUCUUGAAGCCGUUUCCUAUAGACAGAGCUUGACUAAGAACCAUAUGUCUUCCAUUGAAAUUGAAGCAAAGAUCAGAGAAUUGGAGGUUAAUCUAAAGCAGCAUGAAAAGGUUGCUCUGCAAGCGUCAGUGCAGUUUGAGUACUGCAAGAAGGAAGUUGAGGACUAUCUACAGCAACUUUCAGCUGCCAAGAAGUAUGCAGAAUCUAUUGCUGCAAUCACACCUGAACUUGAGAAGGAAUUUCUUGAGAUGCCUACUACAAUUGAGGAAUUGGAGGCUGCUAUUCAAGAUAAUAUCUCUCAAGCUAAUUCCAUUCUAUUCUUAAACCAUAACGUGCUUGAGGAAUAUGAACAUCGUCAGCGUCAGAUAAACAUCAUUGCACGAAAACUAGAGGCUGAUAAACAUGAACUAAGGAAGUGUAUGGCUGAAGUUGAUGAGCUGAAGGGAAAUUGGCUCCCAACAUUAAGAAAACUUGUUUCUCAGAUAAAUGAAACUUUUAGUCGCAAUUUUCAAGAGAUGGCUGUUGCUGGAGAAGUGUUAUUGGAUGAGCAUGAUAUGGACUUUGAUCAAUUUGGAAUACUUAUUAAAGUGAAGUUCAGACAAUCAGGUCAGCUUCAGGUUCUCAGUGCACAUCAUCAAUCUGGAGGGAUCUUUUACUUGCUAGGAACGUUCGGUGUCAACAAUUCUGUAUCUUGUUUCCCUUCAAGACCUUACCAACUGCCCAUUUAGAGUAGUUGACGAGAUAAACCAAGGAAUGGAUCCCAUAAAUGAACGGAAGAUGUUCCAGCAAUUGGUGAGAGCUGCCAGCCAAACCAAUACACCACAGUGUUUCCUACUGACUCCAAAGUUACUUCCAGAACUGGAAUAUAGCGAGGCCUGUACUAUACUGAAUAUAAUGAAUGGUCCUUGGAUCGAGCAGCCCUCGAGAGCAUGGAGCAAUGGAGAUAGCUGGGGAACGUUGAUGAACUACGUAGGAGAAAGCCGAUGUUGAUUGUCAUUAGCGGAUUUCUAUGCUGAGGAAGGCAAUGUUCGAUUAGAGUUCUUUCUAUGAAGGUUGCCAUGUUCUCACAUCAAAUAGCUGCUAGUCCUUAAACGAUUGUGAUUCAAUUUGUGCUUUCAUUUUGUAUAGUUGAACCAUGACUUGACAAAUUCUUUUGUAAAGCUAUCAUAUUAUUUUUCUAUCUAUUGUUUACUGAUGAAUUAACUUAAAA